rnacentral:rRNA from 1 species
ACCUCGGAUCAGGUAGGAAUACCCGCUGAACUUAAGCAUAUCAAUAAGCGGAGGAAAAGAAACCAACAGGGAUUGCCCUAGUAACGGCGAGUGAAGCGGCAACAGCUCAAAUUUGAAAUCUGGCCCUCGGGUCCGAAUUGUAAUUUGUAGAGGAUGCUUUUGGUGAGGUACCUUCCGAGUUCCCUGGAACGGGACGCCAUAGAGGGUGAGAGCCCCGUCUGGUUGGAUACCGAUCCUCUGUAAAGCUCCUUCGACGAGUCGAGUAGUUUGGGAAUGCUGCUCUAAAUGGGAGGUAUAUGUCUUCUAAAGCUAAAUAUUGGCCAGAGACCGAUAGCGCACAAGUAGAGUGAUCGAAAGAUGAAAAGCACUUUGAAAAGAGAGUUAAAAAGUACGUGAAAUUGUUGAAAGGGAAGCGCUCAUGACCAGACUUGGGCUUGGUUGAUCAUCCAGGGUUCUCCCUGGUGCACUCUUCCAGCCCAGGCCAGCAUCAGUUCGCUGUGGGGGAUAAAGGCUUUGGGAAUGUGGCUCCUCCGGGAGUGUUAUAGCCCAUUGUGUAAUACCCUGUGGUGGACUGAG